rnacentral:rRNA from 1 species
GAUGAACGCUGGCGGCGUGCAUAACACGUGCAAGUCGAACGGGGUUAUUUCUUCGGAGAUAACUUAGUGGCGAACGGGUGAGUAACGCGUGAGAAACCUGCCUUUCAGUGGGGGACAACAGUUGGAAACGACUGCUAAUACCGCAUAAUGUUAUUUGGGGGCAUCCUUGAAUAACCAAAGAUUUAUUGCUGAAAGAUGGUCUCGCGUCUGAUUAGCUAGAUGGCGGGGUAACGGCCCACCAUGGCGACGAUCAGUAGCCGGUCUGAGAGGAUGAACGGCCACAUUGGGACUGAGAUACGGCCCAGACUCCUACGGGAGGCAGCAGUGGGGAAUAUUGGGCAAUGGGCGAAAGCCUGACCCAGCAACGCCGCGUGAAGGAAGAAGGCCUUCGGGUUGUAAACUUCUAUUAGCAGGGACGAAAACUGACGGUACCUGCAGAAAAAGCAACGGCUAACUACGUGCCAGCCGCCGCCGUAAUAC